AAAUGAAUUUUCUGCCCCUAUCAACUUUCGAUGGUAAUGUAGUGGAAUUACCAUGGUGAUGACGGGUAACGGGGGAAUUAAGGGGUUUGAUUCCGGAGAAAAGGCCUGAGAGACGGCCAUUACUUCUAAGGAAGGCAGCAGGCGCGUAAAUUACCCAAUCCUAAUACGGGGAGGUAGUGACAAGAAAUAUUAGAUAUUGGACCCAAAGGGUACAAUGAUUGAAAUGAGAACAAUAUAAAAAACUUAACGACUAACAAUUGGAGGGCAAGUCUGGUGCCAGCAGCCGCGGUAAUUCCAGCUCCAAGAGUGUAUAUUAAAAGUUGUUGCGGUUAAAAAGCUCGUAGUUGAAUUUCUGAAAAUAAUCUUGUGAUUGAUUUAACCGUCAUGAACAAAAAUUGUUUACAUACUUGAUAGAUGGAAACAUUUAUCUUAAUGACUUUGAAAAAAUUAGAGUGUUCAAAGCAUGAUUCACAUUUGAAUAAUACAGCAUGGGAUAAUAUAAUAUGACAUUAGUUAAAAAUUUGUUGGUUUCUUUUGGCUAAUGUAAUGAUUAAAAGGGAC
rnacentral:rRNA from 1 species